GAAGCUCCUUAAUCUUGGUGUCCCUCAAGUUCAAGUACCUUAAAUUGAACAACUCAACUAAUGUGGAUGGUAUGGUUUCAACCAGAACUCCCUCUAGAUUCAGCACCCUGAGUAAUUUGAACUUUGAUGAAAAAGCAUUCAGCGAAAAUGAUGAGCACUUAUCUGUUGGAAACACGAAAAAUGAGCGAAGAUGGCGCGAUAUUGUACUGCUCAAUUGGAUGGUUUCACCCGUCUUAUAGAUUGAUAGACGGUGGAUUCUUCCUUCUAACCUUGAUUGACUUCCAUCAUAUGCUGUACAAAAAUUCUCUUUUUCAGAUGUUGUCAAUGCAAGUUCGUGCAUGACAUCGUGGAC
rnacentral:misc_RNA from 1 species